AUUGAACGCUAGCGGGAUGCCUUACACAUGCAAGUCGAACGGCAGCGCGGACUUCGGUCUGGCGGCGAGUGGCGAACGGGUGAGUAAUGUAUCGGAACGUGCCCAGUAGCGGGGGAUAACUACGCGAAAGCGUAGCUAAUACCGCAUACGCCCUACGGGGGAAAGCAGGGGAUCGUAAGACCUUGCACUAUUGGAGCGGCCGAUAUCGGAUUAGCUAGUUGGGUAGGUAACGGCUCACCAAGGCGACGAUCCGUAGCUGGUUUGAGAGGACGACCAGCCACACUGGGACUGAGACACGGCCCAGACUCCUACGGGAGGCAGCAGUGGGGAAUUUUGGACAAUGGGGGCAACCCUGAUCCAGCCAUCCCGCGUGUGCGAUGAAGGCCUUCGGGUUGUAAAGCACUUUUGGCAGGAAAGAAACGUCGCGGGCUAAUACCCCGUGGAACUGACGGUACCUGCAGAAUAAGCACCGGCUAACUACGUG
rnacentral:rRNA from 1 species